rnacentral:rRNA from 1 species
UACGUAGGGUGCGAGCGUUAAUCGGAAUUACUGGGCGUAAAGCGUGCGCAGGCGGUUCGUUGUGUCGGCGGUGAAAGCCCCGGGCUUAACCUGGGAAUGGCCGUUGAAACUGGCGAACUGGAGUGUGGCAGAGGGGGGUGGAAUUCCGCGUGUAGCAGUGAAAUGCGUAGAGAUGCGGAGGAACACCGAUGGCGAAGGCAGCCCCCUGGGCUGACACUGACGCUCAGGCACGAAAGCGUGGGGAUCAAACAGG